rnacentral:rRNA from 1 species
UGGGGAAUAUUGGACAAUGGGCGCAAGCCUGAUCCAGCCAUGCCGCGUGUGUGAAGAAGGCCUUUUGGUUGUAAAGCACUUUAAGCGAGGAGGAGGCUACUUGGAUUAAUACUCCAGGAUAGUGGACGUUACUCGCAGAAUAAGCACCGGCUAACUCUGUGCCAGCAGCCGCGGUAAUACAGAGGCUGCGAGCGUUAAUCGGAUUUACUGGGCGUAAAGCGUGCGUAGGCGGCUUUUUAAGUCGGAUGUGAAAUCCCUGAGCUUAACUUAGGAAUUGCAUUCGAUACUGGGAAGCUAGAGUAUGGGAAAGGAUGGUAGAAUUCCAGGUGUAGCGGUGACAUGCGUAGAGAUCUGGAGGAAUACCGAUGGCGAAGGCAGCCAUCUGGCCUAAUACUGACGCUGAGGUACGAAAGCAUGGGGAGCAAACAGG